rnacentral:lncRNA from 1 species
AUGGACGUAGGAAAUGGGCACCUUGUUAGUCUAGGGGGACAGGUGUGUCGUGGGGGGGAUACUGUAAGUUUCCCUAUAAGGACAGCACUGGGUUGCAACCUGGAGCUUCCUGGGUGUAACCUGAAAUUGGCCCUGGCCCUUGGGGGGCAGGAAGAGACCCAAGACAAAGACGGGGACAGGUUGGGGGCUGGCAGGUGUAAGGGGCACGGGAACUUACUUCUGAGGCUUUUUCUGGUGACUCUCGGGGAGGUGGGGGUGAGUAGAUCUCAGCACCUGCCUGUCAGAUCUUACACCGAGGCCUUAACUGGGUUCAGUGUCCUGUGCCACCCAGAUAGUCUCCUCGCGACAUCACUGUCUCGAGGCUGUAUCCUUGGGGCAGCUUCUAGGAGCCAGGCUGGCAAGUGGGACACACAUUUCAAGGACAAGAGAAGGGGUGAAGAGCCUCCCGGUGCCGGGGUCAAUGGGGGUGGGGCACAUCCCCCUGCAUCCCCUUCCCCCCCACCUACUCUAACACUGUGGCUCAAGUAUAUGUACGUGGUGGGGUUGGGGGGAGGUGAACUGAGGAAGAAAAGAGUAGAAGUAGGGAGCCCCCCCCCCCCAGGGGAGGCUGCACAAAUCACGCAUAGCCGGGGAGGGCGCUGGGAGUGGGCGGUGGAGUCCGCAGGUGGUGAUGUGUUCCCAGGGCAGGAGGUGGGGAGGGAGCGAGGUGCUGGGCGAAGGCCAUACCCCCCAGGUGAGAUGAGGAGCUGGGUGGGGAUGAGGACGAGGGGAUCCCAGGUUGAAUAUGCAGGGUCUGAGAUGCCACAGUUCCCGGGGGAGGCUCUGCUGUCCUUGGUGCUCCCGGACAUGGCCUCUUGUUUCCACUCACCCUGCUGGCAACACCCUUCCCCCAUCCAUCAGCUCCCAGGUUUCUCCAGGAGGAGCCCCCAGAUCUUGGUCCCUGAAAGCAAUUUCCUUCUGUCAGAGCACUUACAGGUGCUCUACGCUCAGUGCCCCUGGACACCUGCCUCUCUGGGGGCCCUGGUGGGGGACGGGGGACACCCCACCUGA